GUCCAUGUGGUGAAAUUGGUAGACACGCCAUCUUGAGGGGGUGGUUCCGCAAGGUGUGAGGGUUCGAAUCCCUCCGUGGACA
rnacentral:tRNA from 1 species